rnacentral:rRNA from 1 species
UGGGGAAUAUUGCACAAUGGGCGCAAGCCUGAUGCAGCCAUGCCGCGUGUAUGAAGAAGGCCUUCGGGUUGUAAAGUACUUUCAGCGGGGAGGAAGGUGUUGAGGUUAAUAACCUCAGCAAUUGACGUUACCCGCAGAAGAAGCACCGGCUAACUCCGUGCCAGCAGCCGCGGUAAUACGGAGGGUGCAAGCGUUAAUCGGAAUUACUGGGCGUAAAGCGCACGCAGGCGGUCUGUCAAGUCGGAUGUGAAAUCCCCGGGCUCAACCUGGGAACUGCAUUCGAAACUGGCAGGCUAGAGUCUUGUAGAGGGGGGUAGAAUUCCAAGUGUAGCGGUGAAAUGCGUAGAGAUCUGGAGGAAUACCGGUGGCGAAGGCGGCCCCCUGGACAAAGACUGACGCUCAGGUGCGAAAGCGUGGGGAGCAAACA